GACGAACGCUGGCGACGUGCUUAACACAUGCAAGUCGAACGCUGAAGCUUGGUGCUUGCACUGGGUGGAUGAGUGGCGAACGGGUGAGUAAUACGUGAGUAACCUGCCCUUGACUCUGGGAUAAGCCUGGGAAACUGGGUCUAAUACUGGAUACGACAUGUCACCGCAUGGUGGUGUGUGGAAAGGGUUUUACUGGUUUUGGAUGGGCUCACGGCCUAUCAGCUUGUUGGGGGGGUAAUGGCUCACCAAGGCGACGACGGGUAGCCGGCCCGAGGGGGGGGACGGGCCACAUUGGAAGAGAUCACGGGCCAGGAUCCCGCGGGGAGGAAGCGGGGGGGAAUAUUGAAAAGGGGGGGGAGGCCUGAUGCAGCGCCCGGGGGGGAGGGAGGAGGGCCUGGGGUUUGUAACCCUCUUGCGGCGGGGAAGAAGGAAAAGGGAGGGAAGGUAAAAGAGAGCCCCGGGCAAAUUAGGGC
rnacentral:rRNA from 1 species